UACGAAGGGGGCGAGCGUUGUUCGGAGUUACUGGGCGUAAAGGGCGCGUAGGCGGCGCUCCAAGUUGGAUGUGAAAGCCCUGGGCUCAACCUGGGAACUGCAUCCAAAACUACUGAGCUAGAGUACGGUAGAGGGUAGUGGAAUUUCCUGUGUAGCGGUGAAAUGCGUAGAUAUAGGAAGGAACACCAGUGGCGAAGGCGACUACCUGGACUGAUACUGACACUGAGGUGCGAAAGCGUGGGGAGCAAACAGGAUUAGAAACCCCUGUAGU
rnacentral:rRNA from 1 species